AUGCAUAUUGAGAAGUGUUAUAUUUGUUCAGGGCCCAUCUACCCUGGCCACGGCAUGACGUUUGUCCACAAUAAUUGCAAGGUGUUCAGAUUUUGCAAAUCUAAAUGUCAUAAAAACUUUAAAAAGAAGCACAAUCCUCCAAAGCUAGGUGAACCAAAGCAUUCCUGAAAGCAGCUGGUAAAGGGCUUACGGCGUAUAAUUCAUUUGAAUUUGAAAAAUGUAGAAAUGAACCUAUCGAAUACCAGUGAGAGCUAUGGAAUAAAAGUAUUGAUUCAAUGAAGAGAGUUGAAGAAAUCAAACAGAAACGCCAAGCUAAAUUUAUAAUGAACAGAUCGAAGAAAAAUAAAGAGCUACAAAAGUUCAGGAUAUCAAAGAAGUAAAGCAAAACAUCCAUCUUAUCUGAGCCCCCCUUGCAGGCAAAGGGAAGUAGUUGGAAGAGAAAAUGGUACAACAGUUACAAGAGGAUGUGGACAUGGAAGAU
rnacentral:lncRNA from 1 species